UACGUAGGGGGCAAGCGUUGUCCGGAAUCAUUGGGCGUAAAGAGCGUGUAGGCGGCCCGGUAAGUCCGCUGUGAAAGUCCAGGGCUCAACCCUGGGAUGCCGGUGGAUACUGUCGGGCUCGAGUCCGGAAGAGGAGUGUGAAAUUCCUGGUGUAGCGGUGAAAUGCGCAGAUAUCAGGAGGAACACCAAUGGCGAAGGCAGCACUCUGGGACGUGACUGACGCUGAGACGCGAAAGCGUGGGGAGCAAACAGG
rnacentral:rRNA from 1 species